rnacentral:rRNA from 1 species
GAGGAAUAUUGGUCAAUGGCCGAGAGGCUGAACCAGCCAAGUAGCGUGAAGGAUGAAGGUCCUACGGAUUGUAAACUUCUUUUAUAAGGGAAUAAAGUCAUCUACGUGUAGGUGUUUGUAUGUACCUUAUGAAUAAGCAUCGGCUAACUCCGUGCCAGCAGCCGCGGUAAUACGGAGGAUGCGAGCGUUAUCCGGAUUUAUUGGGUUUAAAGGGAGCGUAGACGGGUCGUUAAGUCAGCUGUGAAAGUUUGAGGCUCAACCUUAAAAUUGCAGUUGAUACUGGCGUCCUUGAGUACGGUUGAGGCAGGCGGAAUUCGUGGUGUAGCGGUGAAAUGCUUAGAUAUCACGAAGAACCCCGAUUGCGAAGGCAGCCUGCUAAACCGCCACUGACGUUGAGGCUCGAAAGUGUGGGUAUCAAACAGGAUUAGAUACCCUGGUAGUCCACACGGUAAACGAUGGAUACUCGCUGUUGGCGAUAGACUGUCAGCGGCUUAGCGAAAGCGUUAAGUAUCCCACCUGGGGAGUACGCCGGCAACGGUGAAACUCAAAGGAAUUGACGGGGGCCCGCACAAGCGGAGGAACAUGUGGUUUAAUUCGAUGAUACGCGAGGAACCUUACCCGGGCUUGAAUUGCAGACGAAUUGCUUGGAAACAGGCAAGCCGCAAGGCGUCUGUGAAGGUGCUGCAUGGUUGUCGUCAGCUCGUGCCGUGAGGUGUCGGCUUAAGUGCCAUAACGAGCGCAACCCUCGUGUCCAGUUACUAGCAGGUUAUGCUGAGGACUCUGGACAGACUGCCAUCGUAAGAUGUGAGGAAGGUGGGGAUGACGUCAAAUCAGCACGGCCCUUACGUCCGGGGCUACACACGUGUUACAAUGGGGAGUACAGAGGGCCGCUACCACGCGAGUGGAUGCCAAUCCCCAAAACCUCUCUCAGUUCGGACUGGAGUCUGCAACCCGACUCCACGAAGCUGGAUUCGCUAGUAAUCGCGCAUCAGCCACGGCGCGGUGAAUACGUUCCCG